AGGGAUUUAGCUCAGUGGUGCAGCGCCUGCCUAACAAGUACAAAGUCUUGAGUUUGAUUCCCAGUAUCUCUU
rnacentral:tRNA from 1 species